ensembl:miRNA
GCUUUACAGACUGCAGCGGCCAGGGGAGGCUGAGGACCCGUGGCCUGAUCGCGGUUUGCGCCGUUAGCCUGAACAGCAGCCGGUACUUUAGCAGCCGCCAAACUUCCAUUCUGGCCUGCCGUUAA